rnacentral:lncRNA from 1 species
UCCUCUUAGUCUUGACUAAGACUCCUCUAUAGUGGAUUUAAGUUGACUUUUUUCUGCUUUAGUAGAACUUUCUCUCUAUUACAGUUUGGAAGUACAGUGACAUAGUAUGACUACUUUGUAUUUCCAAGUACAAACACUGUCUGGGUUUCAGACAUUGAUUUUGUUUUUAGUUUAACCAAUCUUUUUAUUUUUUUUUAAUAAGUUACAGAAGUCCUGAAUUGUUUGCCCAGAAUGUCCAGCUUUUAGGUCUGAGUUUAAUCACUCAUUAUUAUUAUCCUAUAUCCUUCUAGAUCUGUAGUCUUUUGAGAGUGGAGUUUAGCCAAGGGGUUCAUCUAAGUAAGGUCAAUAGGUAAAAUAUAUGCUUCUUGGCAUAGAGAUGAGUUAGAAUUUAUAUCUCUGUUCUGUAAAUAUUACAUCACUGCUGAAGUGCUGAGGUCAACAGUGUAUUGUUUAUAAAUAUUGUCCAAGAAGAAUGUAUUGUUUCACAAAUACUGGUGUUUUCCGUGAUUUCUGAUAAUGUUCCCCAUUUUCCUGCUGUGUUGAAUUGAUAGUGUGCCCUUAAGUCCAGACAACUGCUUGAGUCAUGUUCACAUUGGAACAGGGAGUACUCUGUUUAGUUUCUCUGGCAGAAAAGACAGCGUGCUGUGGUUUAGGAAAGUCCUACCAGCGGAGAUAUCUCAGUGAAACAGUGCUUCAUAGCAUAAGCAAAAGUGACUUGUUCCUAAGAACAUUUCUCAUGAGAAUCAUCAGCAUUUGCUGCCAGGAUACCCGCAACUCUGAUGAUGCUUUUGUUGGCUAUUUUUGCUUCAAAGGAUACAGUGUCAUUGAAAGACUAAUGCACGCUACCAGGAUCACAAUUCAUGUCUCUUCUGGGGAAGACGGGGAAUCAUCGGGAGAAGACUGUGGGAUGUUAUUUUAAAGAUAAGGCUUUAUGUUCAAAUUCAUUUGAGUAGUAAAUGCAUGAAUGGAUGUGGUUUUUCAGCAGUUCAGCUAAAGCAGAUAAAAACACAUUUUUUAUUUUUUUUUAAUUGAGGGAACAUACUCAUUGAUUAUUAGUAGAAAAAGAGGAAUAUAUUAAACUGCAGUAGGUGAACAUCAGCAUGCAAAGUUCUUUUGUUAAUAAGAAUAUAUUGAUAGAUCUACGGACUUUAAAUUACAGAGAGCUCAUUUUAUUGUCUCAUCAGACCUGUAGAUCAAAGCUGUGAAAUUUCCCAGCAUUACCUCUGAAGUGCAUAGAACUACACAAAAUGUGUUGGUAAAGCAGAGCAUGGAAAAGAAGAUGCUAUUCAAGUUGACAAGCUUUAUAGCUUUGGGUCAAAUCCACCUUUCUUCAGUUUUAAACUGAAGUGCUGUUUUUCUCAUUUUUGAGCUUUGGCAAAGUGUAUCAUAUUUCAGUUUAUCCAUGAAAAUGACCUGUUUUGUUUCUUCUAGACUUAAUCCAUAACACUAUAUGCGUAACAACACAAGUCCACAAGUUGUCAAAAACAUGGUCCCUCCAAAAUAAAUAACUAAUAAAUAAUCA